rnacentral:rRNA from 1 species
UUGACGGGGCCGCACAAGCGGCGGAGCAUGCGGAUUAAUUCGAUGCAACGCGAAGAACCUUACCUGGGUUUGACAUAUGCCGGAAAGCCGUAGAGAUACGGCCCUUUUAGUCGGUAUACAGGUGGUGCAUGGCUGUCGUCAGCUCGUGUCGUGAGAUGUUGGGUUAAGUCCCGCAACGAGCGCAACCCUCGUCUUAUGUUGCCAGCACGUCAUGGUGGGGACUCAUAAGAGACUGCCGGGGUCAACUCGGAGGAAGGUGGGGAUGACGUCAAGUCAUCAUGCCCCUUAUGUCCAGGGCUUCACGCAUGCUACAAUGGCCGGUACAAAGGGCUGCGAAACUGUAAGGUGGAGCGAAUCCCAAAAAGCCGGUCUCAGUUCGGAUUGGGGUCUGCAACUCGACCCCAUGAAGUCGGAGUCGCUAGUAAUCGCAGAUCAGCAACGCUGCGGUGAAUACGUUCCCGGGCCUU